GACGAACGCUGGCUGCGUGCUUAACACAUGCAAGUCGAACGGAAAGACCCUGCUUUUGUGGGGUGCUCGAGUGGCGAACGGGUGAGUAACACGUGAGUAACCUGCCCUUGACUUUGGGAUAACUUCAGGAAACUGGGGCUAAUACCGGAUAGGAGCUCCUGCUGCAUGGUGGGGGUUGGAAAGUGUCGGCGGUUGGGGAUGGACUCGCGGGUUAUCAGCUUGUUGGGGGGGUAGUGGCUUACCAAGGGUUUGACGGGUAGCCGGCCUGAGAGGGUGACCGGCCACCUUGGGACUGAGAUACGGACCAGUAUCCUACGGGCGGCAGCAGUGGGGAAUAUUGCACAAUGGGCGGAAGCCUGAUGCAGCAACGCCGCGUGCGGGAUGACGGCCUUCGGGUUGUAAACCGCUUUCGCCUGUGACGAAGCGUGAGUGACGGUAAUGGGUAAAGAAGCAACGGCUAACUACGUG
rnacentral:rRNA from 1 species